rnacentral:rRNA from 1 species
CCGUCAUGCCGCAGCCUACCAUGCAGUCGACGGUAACAGGAAGCAGCUUGCUGCUUCGCUGACGAGUGGCGGACGGGUGAGUAAUGUCUGGGAAACUGCCUGAUGGAGGGGGAUAACUACUGGAAACGGUAGCUAAUACCGCAUAACGUCGCAAGACCAAAGAGGGGGACCUUCGGGCCUCUUGCCAUCGGAUGUGCCCAGAUGGGAUUAGCUUGUUGGUGGGGUAACGGCUCACCUAGGCGACGAUCCCUAGCUGGUCUGAGAGGAUGACCAGCCACACUGGAACUGAGACACGGUCCAGACUCCUACGGGAGGCAGCAGUGGGGAAUAUUGCACAAUGGGCGCAAGCCUGAUGCAGCCAUGCCGCGUGUAUGAAGAAGGCCUUCGGGUUGUAAAGUACUUUCAGCGGGGAGGAAGGGAGUAAAGUUAAUACCUUUGCUCAUUGACGUUACCCGCAGAAGAAGCACCGGCUAACUCCGUGCCAGCAGCCGCGGUAAUACGGAGGGUGCAAGCGUUAAUCGGAAUUACUGGGCGUAAAGCGCACGCAGGCGGUUUGUUAAGUCAGAUGUGAAAUCCCCGGGCUCAACCUGGGAACUGCAUCUGAUACUGGCAAGCUUGAGUCUCGUAGAGGGGGGUAGAAUUCCAGGUGUAGCGGUGAAAUGCGUAGAGAUCUGGAGGAAUACCCGGUGGCGAAGGCGGCCCCCUGGACGAAGACUGACGCUCAGGUGCGAAAGCGUGGGGGAGCAAACAGGAUUAUAUACCCUGGUAGUCCACGCCGUACACGAUGUCCACUUGGAGGU